UACAGAGGGUGCAAGCGUUAAUCGGAAUUACUGGGCGUAAAGCGUGCGUAGUCGGUUAUCUAAGUCGGGCGUGAAAUCCCCGGGCUCAACCUGGGAAUUGCAUUCGAUACUGGAUAGCUAGAGUUCGGCAGAGGGAAGCGGAAUUUCGGGUGUAGCGGUGAAAUGCGUAGAUAUCCGAAGGAACAUCAGUGGCGAAAGCGGCUUCCUGGACCAGAACUGACGAUCAGGCACGAAAGCGUGGGGAGCAAACAGG
rnacentral:rRNA from 1 species